AGUGAACGCUGGUGGUAGGCCUAACACAUGCAAGUCGAACGGCAGCACAGUAAGAGCUAGCUCUUACGGGUGGCGAGUGGCGGACGGGUGAGGAAUACAUCGGAAUCUACUUUUUCGUGGGGGAUAACGUAGGGAAACUUACGCUAAUACCGCAUACGACCUACGGGUGAAAGCAGGGGAUCUUCGGACCUUGCGCGAUUGAAUGAGCCGAUGUCGGAUUAGCUAGUUGGCGGGGUAAAGGCCCACCAAGGCGACGAUCCGUAGCUGGUCUGAGAGGAUGAUCAGCCACACUGGAACUGAGACACGGUCCAGACUCCUACGGGAGGCAGCAGUGGGGAAUAUUGGACAAUGGGCGCAAGCCUGAUCCAGCCAUACCGCGUGGGUGAAGAAGGCCUUCGGGUUGUAAAGCCCUUUUGUUGGGAAAGAAAAGCAGCAGGUUAAUACCCCGCUGUUCUGACGGUACCCAAAGAAUAAGCACCGGCUAACUUCGUG
rnacentral:rRNA from 1 species